rnacentral:rRNA from 1 species
GACGAACGCUGGCGGCGCGCCUAACACAUGCAAGUCGAACGGAGCUGAGAGAAGCUUGCUUUUCUUAGCUUAGUGGCGAACGGGUGAGUAACGCGUGAGUAACCUGCCCUGGAGUGGGGGACAACAGUUGGAAACGACUGCUAAUACCGCAUAAGCCCACGAUCCGGCAUCGGAUUGAGGGAAAAGGAUUUAUUCGCUUCAGGAUGGACUCGCGUCCAAUUAGCUAGUUGGUGGGGUAACGGCCCACCAAGGCGACGAUUGGUAGCCGGACUGAGAGGUUGAACGGCCACAUUGGGACUGAGACACGGCCCAGACUCCUACGGGAGGCAGCAGUGGGGGAUAUUGCACAAUGGGGGAAACCCUGAUGCAGCGACGCCGCGUGGAGGAAGAAGGUUUUCGGAUUGUAAACUCCUGUCGUUAGGGACGAUAAUGACGGUACCUAACAAGAAAGCACCGGCUAACUACGUG